rnacentral:rRNA from 1 species
GACGAACGCUGGCGGCGUGCUUAACACAUGCAAGUCGAACGGAAAGGCCCUGCUUUUGUCGGGUGCUCGAGUGGCGAACGGGUGAGUAACACGUGAGUAACCUGCCCUUGACUUUGGGAUAACUUCAGGAAACUGGGGCUAAUACCGGAUAGGAGCUCCUGCUGCAUGGUGGGGGUUGGAAAGUUUCGGCGGUUGGGGAUGGACUCGCGGCUUAUCAGCUUGUUGGUGGGGUAGUGGCUUACCAAGGCUUUGACGGGUAGCCGGCCUGAGAGGGUGACCGGCCACAUUGGGACUGAGAUACGGCCCAGACUCCUACGGGAGGCAGCAGUGGGGAAUAUUGCACAAUGGGCGGAAGCCUGAUGCAGCAACGCCGCGUGCGGGAUGACGGCCUUCGGGUUGUAAACCGCUUUCGCCUGUGACGAAGCGUGAGUGACGGUAAUGGGUAAAGAAGCACCGGCUAACUACGUG